UACGUAGGAGGCAAGCGUUGUCCGGAAUCACUGGGCGUAAAGCGCGCGUAGGCGGCUUGUUAAGUCAAAUGUGAAAUCCCCGAGCUUAACUUGGGCAUUGCAUUCGAUACUGGCAAGCUAGAGUAUGGGAGAGGAAGGUAGAAUUCCAGGUGUAGCGGUGAAAUGCGUAGAGAUCUGGAGGAAUACCGAUGGCGAAGGCAGCCUUCUGGCCUAAUACUGACGCUGAGGUGCGAAAGCAUGGGGAGCAAACAGG
rnacentral:rRNA from 1 species